rnacentral:rRNA from 1 species
UACGGGGGGGGUAAGCGUUGUUCGGAAUUACUGGGCGUAAAGGGCUCGUAGGCGGCCAACUAAGUCAGACGUGAAAUCCCUCAGCUUAACUGGGGAACUGCGUCUGAUACUGGAUGGCUUGGAUUUGGGAGAGGAAUGCGGAAUUCCAGGUGUAGCGGUGAAAUGCGUAGAUAUCUGGAGGAACACCGGUGGCGAAGGCGGCAUCCUGGACCGGUAUUGACGCUGAGGCGCGAAAGCCAGGGGAGCAAACGGG